GCUUGACUCAACUCACGUCACCAAGAUGUGGGUUCUGUGCCUUUUUUGCUGCGUACCAUGGGUCUUGGUACGAGGCGCCCACCACUUCCAUAAACGUAUGGUUCCAGAUGAUUCUCAAACUGUUACAGAGGAGACGUCUGCUUCUACUGGAGGAACUCUGCAGCUGUCGCCAGUCAACACAUCUGAUGGUGAUGUCAGUGACUCAUCCUCUGAUGAAGUGAUCGACUCAGAAUGUGUAGC